AUUGAACGCUGGCGGCAUGCCUUACACAUGCAAGUCGAACGGCAGCACGGGUGCUUGCACCUGGUGGCGAGUGGCGCACGGGUGAGUAAUACAUCGGAACGUACCUUAUCGUGGGGGAUAACGCAGCGAAAGCUGUGCUAAUACCGCAUACGCCAUGAGGGGGAAAGCGGGGGAUCGCAAGACCUCGCGCGAUUAGAGCGGCCGAUGCCUGAUUAGCUUGUUGGUGGGGUAAAAGCCCACCAAGGCGACGACCAGUAGCUGGUCUGAGAGGACGAUCAGCCACACUGGGACUGAGACACGGCCCAGACUCCUACGGGAGGCAGCAGUGGGGAAUUUUGGACAAUGUGGGCAACCCUGAUCCAGCAAUGCCGCGUGAGUGAAGAAGGCCUUCGGGUUGUAAAGCUCUUUUGUCAGGGAAGAAACACCGGCUCUAACACAGUCUGGGAAUGACGGUACCUGAAGAAUAAGCACCGGCUAACUACGUGCCAGCCGCCGCCGUAA
rnacentral:rRNA from 1 species